rnacentral:rRNA from 4 species
CCCCGGUAAACGGCGGCCGUAACUAUAACGGUCCUAAGGUAGCGAAAUUCCUUGUCGGGUAAGUUCCGACCUGCACGAAUGGCGUAAUGAUGGCCAGGCUGUCUCCACCCGAGACUCAGUGAAAUUGAACUCGCUGUGAAGAUGCAGUGUACCCGCGGCAAGACGGAAAGACCCCGUGAACCUUUACUAUAGCUUGACACUGAACAUUGAGCCUUGAUGUGUAGGAUAGGUGGGAGGCUUUGAAGUGUGGACGCCAGUCUGCAUGGAGCCGACCUUGAAAUACCACCCUUUAAUGUUUGAUGUUCUAACGUGGACCCGUAAUCCGGGUUGCGGACAGUGUCUGGUGGGUAGUUUGACUGGGGCGGUCUCCUCCUAAAGAGUAACGGAGGAGCACGAAGGUUGGCUAAUCCUGGUCGGACAUCAGGAGGUUAGUGCAAUGGCAUAAGCCAGCUUGACUGCGAGCGUGACGGCGCGAGCAGGUGCGAAAGCAGGUCAUAGUGAUCCGGUGGUUCUGAAUGGAAGGGCCAUCGCUCAACGGAUAAAAGGUACUCCGGGGAUAACAGGCUGAUACCGCCCAAGAGUUCAUAUCGACGGCGGUGUUUGGCACCUCGAUGUCGGCUCAUCACAUCCUGGGGCUGAAGUAGGUCCCAAGGGUAUGGCUGUUCGCCAUUUAAAGUGGUACGCGAGCUGGGUUUAGAACGUCGUGAGACAGUUCGGUCCCUAUCUGCCGUGGGCGCUGGAGAACUGAGGGGGGCUGCUCCUAGUACGAGAGGACCGGAGUGGACGCAUCACUGGUGUUCGGGUUGUCAUGCCAAUGGCACUGCCCGGUAGCUAAAUGCGGAAGAGAUAAGUGCUGAAAGCAUCUAA